CCGCGAGGUGGAGCUAAUCUCACAAAACCGAUCGUAGUCCGGAUCGCAGUCUGCAACUCGACUGCGUGAAGUCGGAAUCGCUAGUAAUCGCGAAUCAGAAUGUCGCGGUGAAUACGUUCCCGGGCCUUGUACACACCGCCCGUCACACCAUGGGAGUGGGUUGCACCAGAAGUAGCUAGUCUAACCUUCGGGAGGACGGUUACCACGGUGUGAUUCAUGACUGGGGUGAAGUCGUAACAAGGUAGCCGUAGGGGAACCUGCGGCUGGAUCACCUCCUUA
rnacentral:rRNA from 1 species